rnacentral:lncRNA from 1 species
UUGGUGCAUGACUGUAGAACUUUAAGCAAUGAUGAAAAUGCUCUAUAUCUACACUGUCCAAUAUGGUUCUGCUUGAAUUCUUGCCCUGGCUCUUGGUGAAGGAUCGGCCUGCUGGAUCUGAGUCAUCCACCUAUAAGAGGGACAACACCACACAUUGGUCACUGCUCUCAAGCCCCUGGAAUACCACCCCACUUGGCUUCUCCUGGUAACAGUGGCUGCCUUUGCUUGCCUGUCUCCAACUCCUCCCAAGAGCAUUGCUGACUAUACCACCCACAUAAACAAAAACUUUUUGGGAGUCCUCCAGAAUUUUUAAGAGUUAUCUAAACUAUUGCCUUUAAUGACCAGGAACUCCAAUUUGAGAAGUGUUACCCUACGUUAAGCCAACAGCAGCCUGGCUCCUUCAUGCUGUGCAGUAUGGGACAGAGCUGGGUCCUUGUUGUCAUCAGCCAGACAAGCACACAUUAAAGCCCACCUUAGCCGUCGGCAUUAGAGCUUUAAAAGCAGCUCCAUCCUACCAUGCUGUCACUCUGCUCAAUCACGUGAUCUUAACG